rnacentral:lncRNA from 1 species
AUGAUUCACCACCGCAGUGUUCACAGCUGGGGAAGCAUUUGUCCCAUUCCUGGUGUAAUUGGUGUGGGCGAGGCUGGGGUCCAAGUGUUGCAGCUGCCUGGAGUUGACUGCCUUGCCUACUUAGCAGUGGCUGUUUUCCAUGGAUAUUUGCAGAAGGUCUGUUCCUUUUUGGAAGAUGGUCUGUACGGAAUGACCAGACACAAGAUUCUCAAAGUUCACCUCAACCUAUGUUUACUGAACAUCUACUGCACCAAAAGCUCCGUAUUGGUGUCACACACGGAUACACAGAUGAGGGAAACAUUGUUCCUGCCCUUAAGAAAUUCAUCACCUUGAUGGGAGGAGACAGAUAUGCACAUAUGUAUCGCCAGUUUGAGGUAGUUUCUUUCUUUUUUUUUUUUUUUAAGACAUUGUCUUUCUCUGUCACCCAGGCUGGAGUGCAGUGGCGCAAUUUUGGCUCACCACAACCUUUGUCUCCUGGAUUCAGGUGAUUCUCGUGCCUCAGCCUCCAAAGUAGCUGGGAUUACAGGCGGGUAGCACCUUGCCUGGCUGAUUUUUGUAUUUUUAGCAGAGACAGGGUUUCACCAUGUUGGCCAGGCUGAUCUCAAACUCCUGA